rnacentral:rRNA from 1 species
GCUUGCUCUCGGGUGACGAGCGGCGGACGGGUGAGUAAUGUCUGGGAAACUGCCUGAUGGAGGGGGAUAACUACUGGAAACGGUAGCUAAUACCGCAUAACGUCGCAAGACCAAAGUGGGGGACCUUCGGGCCUCAUGCCAUCAGAUGUGCCCAGAUGGGAUUAGCUAGUAGGUGGGGUAACGGCUCACCUAGGCGACGAUCCCUAGCUGGUCUGAGAGGAUGACCAGCCACACUGGAACUGAGACACGGUCCAGACUCCUACGGGAGGCAGCAGUGGGGAAUAUUGCACAAUGGGCGCAAGCCUGAUGCAGCCAUGCCGCGUGUGUGAAGAAGGCCUUCGGGUUGUAAAGCACUUUCAGCGGGGAGGAAGGCGGUAAGGUUAAUAACCUUGUCGAUUGACGUUACCCGCAGAAGAAGCACCGGCUAACUCCGUGCCAGCAGCCGCGGUAAUACGGAGGGUGCAAGCGUUAAUCGGAAUUACUGGGCGUAAAGCGCACGCAGGCGGUCUGUCAAGUCGGAUGUGAAAUCCCCGGGCUCAACCUGGGAACUGCAUUCGAAACUGGCAGGCUAGAGUCUUGUAGAGGGGGGUAGAAUUCCAGGUGUAGCGGUGAAAUGCGUAGAGAUCUGGAGGAAUACCGGUGGCGAAGGCGGCCCCCUGGACAAAGACUGACGCUCAGGUGCGAAAGCGUGGGGAGCAAACAGGAUUAGAUACCCUGGUAGUCCACGCCGUAAACGAUGUCGAUUUGGAGGUUGUGCCCUUGAGGCGUGGCUUCCGGAGCUAACGCGUUAAAUCGACCGCCUGGGGAGUACGGCCGCAAGGUUAAAACUCAAAUGAAUUGACGGGGGCCCGCACAAGCGGUGGAGCAUGUGGUUUAAUUCGAUGCAACGCGAAGAACCUUACCUGGUCUUGACAUCCACAGAACUUUCCAGAGAUGGAUUGGUGCCUUCGGGAACUGUGAGACAGGUGCUGCAUGGCUGUCGUCAGCUCGUGUUGUGAAAUGUUGGGUUAAGUCCCGCAACGAGCGCAACCCUUAUCCUUUGUUGCCAGCGGUUCGGCCGGGAACUCAAAGGAGACUGCCAGUGAUAAACUGGAGGAAGGUGGGGAUGACGUCAAGUCAUCAUGGCCCUUACGACCAGGGCUACACACGUGCUACAAUGGCAUAUACAAAGAGAAGCGACCUCGCGAGAGCAAGCGGACCUCAUAAAGUAUGUCGUAGUCCGGAUUGGAGUCUGCAACUCGACUCCAUGAAGUCGGAAUCGCUAGUAAUCGUAGAUCAGAAUGCUACGGUGAAUACGUUCCCGGGCCUUGUACACACCGCCCGUCACACCAUGGGAGUGGGUUGCAAAAGAAGU